rnacentral:rRNA from 1 species
AUUGAACGCUGGCGGUAGGCCUAACACAUGCAAGUCGAACGCGAAAGUCCUUCGGGAUGAGUAGAGUGGCGGACGGGUGAGUAACGCGUAGGAAUCUAUCCUGUAGUGGGGGAUAACGUUUCGAAAGGAACGCUAAUACCGCAUACGCCCCACGGGGAAAGCGGGGGAUCUACGGACCUUGUGCUAUAGGAGGAGCCUGCGUCGGAGUAGCUAGUUGGUGAGGUAAAGGCUCACCAAGGCGACGAUCCGUGGCUGGUCUGAGAGGAUGAUCAGCCACACCGGAACUGAGACACGGUCCGGACUCCGACGGGAGGCAGCAGUGGGGAAUAUUGCGCAAUGGGCGAAAGCCUGACGCAGCCAUACCGCGUGUGUGAAGAAGGCCUUCGGGUUGUAAAGCACUUUCAGUGGGGAGGAAAAGCUGGUGGCUAAUAUCCAUCGGCCGUGACGCUACCCACAGAAGAAGCACCGGCUAAUUCCGUGCCAGCCGCCGCGGUAAGAC